rnacentral:rRNA from 1 species
GAUGAACGCUGGCGGUAUGCUUAACACAUGCAAGUCGAACGGAUGUUUUUGGACAUUAGUGGCGGACGGGUGAGUAACGCGUGAGAAUCUAGCUUCAGGUUGGGGACAACAGUUGGAAACGACUGCUAAUACCGAAUAUGCCGGGAGGUGAAAGAUUAAUUGCCUGAAGAAGAGCUCGCGUCUGAUUAGCUAGUUGGUGGGGUAAGAGCUUACCAAGGCGACGAUCGGUAGCUGGUCUGAGAGGACGAUCAGCCACACUGGGACUGAGACACGGCCCAGACUCCUACGGGAGGCAGCAGUGGGGAAUUUUCCGCAAUGGGCGAAAGCCUGACGGAGCAAUACCGCGUGAGGGAAGAAGGCUCUUGGGUUGUAAACCUCUUUUCUUAGGGAAGAAAAAAAUGACGGUACCUAAGGAAUAAGCAUCGGCUAACUCCGUGCCAGCCGCCGCGGUAA